CAGAUAGUACCUUAGUGACCAGAGUGUUGAGUCAGCUCUAGGCUACUAGUACUCUGUCACAAAGUGGUAUGCAGUUAAUAAAUCUUCUGAGCACAGAGAAGAGCCUUCUGUCACUUGGGUGAGAUGUACUUGGACAACAAUCUGCAAGAAAUGUGACGAUAACCCCCUUGCUCAGCCCAGAGGCCAUGUGGGUUUCAGUGUCAAGAGAUGGCUUCAAAGCAAAGAUCUACUAUCCGCUAGCUUCCUGCAGGGAGGUGUCAUCAACCAACUCAGUGAUGGCCACAGCACUACAUGGGUCUCUUCUUGAAGACAACUUAAAAGUCAAACGUCAACUAAUGUAGAAUGAACCUGUCUGCUCAUUGGAGUUUCUCAUGUGGAACAUAUUGUGUAUGUGUUGCAGGCUACAUUAGCUUCCAGUUUAUUGGGUACAAUUAAUUAUAGAUUUUUGUUCUGUAACAUUCUAAAUGAUUAUGGAAGAGAUUAUUUUAGGUUGUCUGGUUAUCUAAGAGAGUGCCUUUCUCCUCAUGUGCCUCAGAUAAGAUAAGGAGCUCAUUUUGACAGUCCCUAGUAUUGUAUGUCAAAGGGUUGGAUUCAGCAUAUUCUGUGGAAAUUUAUUUUCUCUAGAACUCGCCACAUUAGUCCUACAGAGUGUGGGUUCCUUGACCUUCAGCUCAUGCUGCAAGGUUAUUUUUUUCCCUAAGUCUUUUGCCUUUUCCCUAAGGCUUUUAAAGGGUUAAUGGAAGAGUUGGAUUUCUUUGCUGAGGCAAUUAGUUGAAUUCUCUUUAGGUUAGUUUGUUUUGAUAUUUGUUUUAAUUUGUGGCUUUGUCAAUCAUAUACCUGUGCCUAGAGAA